GCGUGUGUGGUUCAAACUUCCGCAAACUCUGUUUUCGGUCGGUCGGUCAGUCAGUGAUCAUCAUGUCCAACAAUAAUGCUAGCAGCAGCAGUGUGGCCGCGGCGCAGAAAGCCGUCAAACAGCUCAGACAUGAGGCCGACAUGGAUCGAAUGAAAGUGUCUCAGGCUGCCAAAGACCUGAUUAACUUCUGUGUGCAAAAUGCCAUUAAAGACCCUCUGCUGGCGACCAUCUCUCCCAAGGAUAACCCCUUCCGGCCGCCCAAGUCCUGUGGCCUCCUCUGAGCCGGCCAAGGUUAUAAAAAAAAAAACACCCUUCUGUGCUUGAUACAUUUUUGUUUAAGGAGCUGGUGAAGCUGUCUUCAUCUUUACUCUACAUUAAAGCCUCUGGAGCACUACACACUAGAGAGCAUAGCAUUUUCUCUCACACACACACACUAAUUUCAUUUCUUAUUGCUGUUUAGUUGUAUUAUGAGUAAUAAUACGUUGUCUAUAUGCUGAAUUUACACUGUUCACUCGGUACGAUCUGUUACUGUUAAAAUUUCUGAAAACCCAUAACAAACACACACACACACACACACCGUGUUACUCAUGUUCAAGGAUCAAACACUAUUUUAUGAGUCUUUUAUAAAGCAGAAACUAAUUGAAGAUUGUAUGAAGUUUUCCUGGUUUAUAUGGAAGAAUUUAGAAGCGUAGAGUUACCAUUCGUCCUGUCUAAAAUAUACUUUUACUAAUUUAUGGCCAUGUUUGGUGUGAAGGUCAUGUUUUGUGUUGAGGUCAGAGCUCGUUUUGGAUGCUGUUUCUCAUUAAUGAUCAUCUGAUGAGCUGAAUCAGGUGUUUAAUGAGGGAGACUGACAAAAUGUGCUAGGUUUUUUUAUUUUUGGGAAAACCUGAAUGGAUGUUACAUUUAAAAAUAUAUCUCUUUUCAAUGUCUUUUUACUACACUGACUAUUAAAAUAAAAUGUUAUUAAUCAUUA